rnacentral:tRNA from 1 species
GCCUUGGUAGCUCAGCCUGGUUAGAGCGGCUGACUGUUAAUCAGCAGGCCAUCGGUUCAAAUCCGAUCCAGGGCG